AUGAAGCAGCCUCCCAGCUGGUUAAACCGGGUUCUCGGUGCCCGCCCCUUGGCCGCCCAAACUAGAUCAAAGUCUCUUUGUGUCUGGGCUGGCUGUGAGGAUCACAGCAGGGCCCAGCCAGGCAGGGGUGGGCUUGCGUGUGUGGUGCGUCCAGGCCACCACCCUGGAGCCCUGGGAUCUUCCCCGAGGGGCCGUGGCUGGGUCACCGCGGUCACUGUCCUGGCCCCCGCCACACUCGCCAUGAACCGCACACUCUGCUGCCUGUGGCCGCAGCUGUCCUGCUCAUCAGGCACCCACUAUGUGCUGGACACCCUCCUAGGUGCCGGGAACAGCCCCGGAAGCAGAGGGCUGCCCUGGCCCCCCUCGGACAGAGGGCAGGACAGCACCGCGGGGUUUGCAGAAGGCCGCAGACACUGUAUGGAGAGGUCCUCGGUCCAUCAUAGGUGGCUGUCGCACAUACCAGAGCCAGGACAGGGCCGUCUGCGGCGUGCGUGCCUGGUCUCAGUGGCAUUUGAUUUCCACUGUCGCACGUGGCCACCACCCCCAUCAAGACGCGGACGUGAUCGGUCAGCACGUGGGCCUCCCCGCUCUGCGCCUCCGUCCGCACACCCUCCGUCCCUCAGCUCGACAGCACCAGUCUGCAGUUCCGUCAUGGCGACGAGCACUGCAGUGUGUGACCUUCCAAGACUCAGAACCCCUUCACCCGGGUCUCCAGGUCCCUGCCCUGUCGCUCCCUCUCUCCCCAUGCCCCACCUCCUUCCUUUACCUCUAAAACUUUCAGGGUGCAUUUCCCAAACCCAGGGCCUCCUUUUACAUAACUGGGGUGCAAUGACCAGGGCAGGGAGCCACACUGACCCAGGACUGUCAACCCCGGAUCGUUUUCUGUCCACCGCCUGUCCCUCCAAUGCCCUUUAUGGCUGGAGACAAAGGCGCUCUCUUCUGGCCCAGGAUCAGGCCCUGGGUGACAAGGUGUCCUUGAUGGCGGUGGAUCUGGAGCAUUCCACAGUCUUCCUCGUUCCUGACGGGGACACUUUUAAAGACAUGAGCCAUUCUUCUCCCGGACACCCCUCUCUGGGCGUGGUGUCUCCAGCAGUGAGAUUCCUGCUUACUUUACGGCGGGAACACCCCUGCAGUGACACCUGGGUCAUACCAGGGAUAUGAAUGCCACUUGCCCCCUGCUAGUGACAGCUGUGUGGCUCUCCUGGUGAAGUGGGCGCCUCCCAACUGUCUCCACUGUGAAGCGACUGUUUUCCCCUUGUAAUGAGAGAGUAUUUGUGGGCGCAACCUUGGCACCCUUCCAAGUAGCCUUCUUGUUGCACUUUCACCUGCCUCACAGCCACAGAACUUUUUAUUGGCCCCGUAGUGACCCGGAGGGACGAAUGCACGCACGAUGCCGGUCUCAAACCACAAGUGAGCGGCUCGGGCAGCAGAGUGCGCAGGGAAUGGGGUGCUCCCCCCGGGAGGGACCCUGCGCCCAGGCCUGGAGGAAGGGCAGAUGGGCCGCAGCGAGCUGGGGGAGCCUAGGAGGCUGAGGGACCCACAGUGCGAGGCUGGAGCAGGACCAAGCCUGGCUGAGACAGGGGCAGGGCUGCCGGGGACCCGGAGGGCAGGGGCGCGCGUCGGGUCCGUGCCUGGGAAGCAGCUCCCUGGCUCUGUAGCUCCAGCACAGGGGAGGGGACUCACAGGGGGGGCAUUGUGAUACUGCCAGGUGGUCAGCGGCCCUGGGGAGAAGAUGGAAACAUGCACCUGGCUGCCCCGAGGCUGAGGAGGCCGGCGCUGCUCCAUGAAUAGACAGGGUGUGGGGGUCCAGGGUGCCGGGGUUUGGUCCCGGGGAGAAGCUCAGUGUGUAGCAGCAGCCUCAGGGAGGGCCAGACCCAGGCGGGCAGCAAAGGCCUCUGCUGUAGGAAGCCCCAGGGCGUGAACAGGAGAGGACGUGCUUGGUCUCCUCCCUGCGGAGCCACCGAGGCUGUGACAGUGCAGGACGGGGCCAGGAUGAGCCGUUCUCUGUCCCUCGCUUGGAGGGGCUCUGAGGUCUCGGCUGCGGAGAGCUGAGGCUGGGGCAUCCCGCAGGGACCCAGCCAGGCGCUGUUCCGACCCUCACUCCGGGAGCGAGCGGGUGCCUUCCCUCGGGCACAGCCCAGCUGGUGCCAUCUGCUCAAGGCAUCGUCCUGCGGUGAGGGCCUGUGCCCUCUGUCCCAGCGCCAGCCACGGCCAGACACUGCCCUCUGUGCAGGCGCCCGGCUGAUCUUCGGUCUCAGUCACUCAUUCAUUUUCCGUUCAACAAAUACUUAUUCAGUGCCUGCUUUCCAGCCAUCUCUAGGGAGAGAAAACAUCGAUCUUGUCAGUGUAAACUGAUACCACCAUGAUGGAAAUCAGCAUGCAGAUUCCUCAAAACGUGAAAACUAGAAAUUCGGCUUGGUCCAUCUGUUCCCCCCUCGGUAUUUUCCCAAGACUUAAAGACAUCGUAUCACAGCGACCCAAGCACACCCAUAUUUAAAGCAGCACAAUUCACAGUAGCUAAAUCUUGGCAGUGGCCUGUAUAUCCAUCAACAGGGGAAUGAAUAAAGAAAACGCGGUUUUACACCAACAGAGCACUAUCUGCCCUAAAGAGGGACCAACUUGGGCCAGCUGUAGGGAAAUGGAUGUACCCCGAGACCAAGUGAGAUUAUGCCAAACACAAGGGCUUACAUAUCGCAUGGUUUCUCUUACAGGAGAAACUCAAUGUAACUGGCGUGGUGGCGCACGCCUGUAAUCCCAGCACUUGGGAGGCUGAGGCAGGACGAUUGUUGUGAGUUCGAGACCAGCCUGGGCUACAAAGUGAGCUCAAGGCCAGCCUGAACUACAUAGCGAGACCCGGACUCAAAAUGCCAAAAAAAAAAAAAAAAGGAAAUAAACUCAAUGUAUAAAUAAAGUGCAAAAUAACAGACAAUCAGAAAACAAAAAGAAAGAAGUGAUCUGAUCCAGCAUGGCCAAUGUAUCUAAAAGCAUACAUUGAUUUAGUAAAAUUGACUUACAUGUUUUAUAUUUUUUUGCCCGUUUAGCCAUUGAUCUGUGUUUAUGAUAAUUAAAUUGAUAAGGAUUUACCAAAUAAAUGAAUCUGAUGCUGGCAAAAAAAAAUUUUUUAGGGGGGGUGUGAAGUGGAACGAGCAAAAAAGAAUUGACAUGUGUUAUGUACAUUACCAAUUCUCCACAAUGAAUGUAAACAUUAUGUACUGAAAACGUGCAAUAGUAAAAUAAAUAAAAACUGACCUUUUUUACCCAAGCCACG
ensembl:lincRNA